GAGAGAGGCAGUGGCAAAUGGAGGCGAAAUGGAUUGGGAAAGAACAAUGGGAAGCUGUUGUUGUUGAUUCUGUUCUUCUGUAGAGGAUUCUUGGGAUUGUGGGGUUUGGAGACUGGAAUCCAUCUGGGUCUUGGAGGAGAUUGAAUUGGGGAUGCUGGAGCGGGUGUGCGUGUGCGUGGUUUUUGGUUGGCUUGGCCUUGCUCUCUGGAGAAGCCUGUUGUGUGUGCGAGAGAGAGAGAUUGUGACCUUUUUAUUUUUAGGAAGGGAAGGGUUAUGGUGGGGAUUUAGAAGCCGAUUCAGUGUGUCGUUUGUGUAAUAGGCUUUCCUCUCUCAACAACUCUCUGCACCUAACCUAAAAUCUUC
rnacentral:misc_RNA from 1 species